CUUAUCCACUGUGGGCGCAGGAGACUUGAGGGAUUCACUCCCUAGUACGAGAGGACCGGGAGUGACGGACCGCUGGUGUUCCGGUUGUGUCGUCAGACGCAGCGCCGGGUAGCUAUGUCCGGAAAGGAUAAGCGCUGAAAGCAUCUAAGCGCCAAGCCUUCCCCAAGAUGAGGUCUCCCCAUCAAGGUCGUGGUAGACCACCACGUCGAUAGGCCGCACGUGAAAGCGCAGUAAUGCGUGGAGCGAAGCGGUACUAAUUACCUGAUUGGCUUUUAGUC
rnacentral:rRNA from 1 species